GCUGGAGUAGCUAAGUUGGUUAGAGCGCAUGGUUGUUAACCGAAAGGCCGAAGGCUCAAACACUUGCUCUAGCG
rfam:Populus trichocarpa scaffold_2_contig_27, whole genome shotgun sequence.